AGCUUGCUCCUUGGGUGACGAGUGGCGGACGGGUGAGUAAUGUCUGGGAAACUGCCCGAUGGAGGGGGAUAACUACUGGAAACGGUAGCUAAUACCGCAUAACGUCGCAAGACCAAAGAGGGGGACCUUCGGGCCUCUUGCCAUCGGAUGUGCCCAGAUGGGAUUAGCUAGUAGGUGGGGUAACGGCUCACCUAGGCGACGAUCCCUAGCUGGUCUGAGAGGAUGACCAGCCACACUGGAACUGAGACACGGUCCAGACUCCUACGGGAGGCAGCAGUGGGGAAUAUUGCACAAUGGGCGCAAGCCUGAUGCAGCCAUGCCGCGUGUAUGAAGAAGGCCUUCGGGUUGUAAAGUACUUUCAGCGAGGAGGAAGGUGUUGAGGUUAAUAACCUCAACGAUUGACGUUACUCGCAGAAGAAGCACCGGCUAACUCCGUGCCAGCAGCCGCGGUAAUACGGAGGGUGCAAGCGUUAAUCGGAAUUACUGGGCGUAAAGCGCACGCAGGCGGUCUGUCAAGUCAGAUGUGAAAUCCCCGGGCUCAACCUGGGAACUGCAUCCGAAACUGGCAGGCUAGAGUCUUGUAGAGGGGGGUAGAAUUCCAGGUGUAGCGGUGAAAUGCGUAGAGAUCUGGAGGAAUACCGGUGGCGAAGGCGGCCCCCUGGACAAAGACUGACGCUCAGGUGCGAAAGCGUGGGGGAGCAAACAGGAUUAGAUACCCGUGGUAGUCCACGCCCGUACACGAUGUCGACUUGGAGGUUGUGCCCUUGAGGCGUGGCUUCCGGAGCUAACGCGUUAAGUCGACCGCCUGGGGAGUACGGCCGCAAGGUUAAAACUCAAAUGAAUUGACGGGGGCCCGCACAAGCGG
rnacentral:rRNA from 2 species